UGGGGAAUAUUGCACAAUGGGCGAAAGCCUGAUGCAGCAACGCCGCGUGCGGGAAGACGGCCUUCGGGUUGUAAACCGCUUUCAGUAGGGACGAAGCUAACGUGACGGUACCUACAGAAGAAGCACCGGCUAACU
rnacentral:rRNA from 1 species